GGAACAUCAUCUUGUGAUGGAGUACAGGAUCUCAUUUUAAAUGUUAUCUCAUACCUAUUGCCACUGCCAGAAGAACAAAAACCAUGACACAAAGAGCACAAUUCAUAUCAGAUGUGUACAAAGACUUAAUUGUAAAAAUGGGAUGCUUUCAAGAGAGGAGAAGACAUCUGGCAGACCAGUAUACAGCAAGGAAAAAUCCUAUUGAGGCUGUCACAAGGUCCAGCUAAAGUUGCAAUGGGAGAACCAACUUAAAAGAGAUCUCCAGAAGUUGCACAGAAGGAAAAAACUUCUGUUCCCUCCACUCCAUUGUCUGAUGAAUUGGAUGAUACUGAAAUUGACUUGUUUCAGAACAGAGACAAAUCAGAAUAUCAAGGAACAGAGCAGCUGUGCUGGAUAGUGACGGGGAACAAGAAGAUAAAGAUGGAAGAACAGAAUUUUGAGAACAGCCUGCUGCAGGGAACAUCUUCCCAGAAAACUCAUGUAGUGCUUGAUGAUGAUGUUGUCAAAGCUUUGAAAGAUUGUGCACUUGCCUAUGCUUACAUGGAGUAAGUCAUUGGUCACUGUAAGCAUUCCUUCCAAAUGUAAUUUUGACUUUCGUGAUGGGAGACAAAAAUAUUUAACUGAAGCUGAUAUGAGGCCUCACGUAAAUGCACAGAGAAACUGGUAACCUAAAAUGUCAAUUUAACAAAUAAUUAUGUUAAUAACUAAAGGUCAGCCAACAGUGAAUUUUUAUGGAUACCGAUCGCUAGGUUGGAUCAUACUUCCUGAUAGAUUAGAACAGUGGUAACAGUAUAACAGUGGUAAACUUUGCUUUUGUAUUUGAAACGUUUCUUUUUAUCUUUUCACAGACACUGUAAUAAAAUAAUUUCCAAGUACCACACUGUCUGAGGUGCGAGCCCUCAUUCACAGAAAAUGUAACAAUGAGGCCUGUUCAAAGAAAAGUGGCCCUGCACCGGGAGGAUAUGGUUGAUUUAUGUUUGAUUUAAAUAGUGUCCGUUCUACCACUGUUUUUUUUUUUGUUAUUUGCUUGUUUUUUGAAAAUGCAC